UGUUGUGACUGGUAGCAUCACCUUGCGGGCAGCAUGCGGGUGAGCCGAGCCUUCGAGAGGUCCAGAGCGGAGCUAAACCAGAGCCAUCUUUCCCACAGCCUGAGAGCAGGGACAGCACUGCCAGCUGAGCAGCUCCGCACACAGGGCUUUUCUUGUCACUCAGAGCUAGUGGAGAGUGAGACCCAGUCAGGGGCCCCUCACAUUCGAGUCAGGGGGAGAAGGCAGGCUGCUGCCACGAGGAACAAAAGCACAGACAGAUCUGCUGGGGGCUGAGGCCUGGGAGCGAGCUGCGUCGGUGGCCGGCUGCGUCCAUGGCUCUUCAGGGCUGAGGUGCGGCCUUCGUCAGUUCCUGGGCUUUUCUCUUGAGGACGCUGUGCAGACGUUUACGAGCCCUCCCGGAUCUUAAGGUUACCAGGAUGAUACUGUGUAACAGUCAAGCAUUACUAUGAGAAAAUACAGUGCAGAAAUGGACAGCGUUAUGCUUUUAUCCAACCAAGUAUCACUGGGAAAAGAACCAUCCAUAAACUCUAAACUACCAGAGGAAAGAUUGAAAGCUACUAGCUACAAAUCAAUUUGAAUUUUAUUGGCCCUAACUUGCCUGCCUCUUUUGACUAUCUCAAGCGAGGAAUCACAAAUUCAUUCAGCAUUCUCAAAGCACAACCUCCUAACAGUAAGUUGACUAGCAUCCUGUCCUGAUCAACACUGGC